CUCCUACGGGAGGCUGCAGUGGGGAAUUUUGCGCAAUGGGCGAGAGCCUGACGCAGCAACGCCGCGUGGGUGAUGAAGGUCUUCGGAUCGUAAAACCCUGUCGUCAGGGACGAAGGUCACGAGUUUAAGAGAUGCGUGACUUGACGGUACCUGGAGAGGAAGCCCCGGCUAACUCUGUGCCAGCAGCCGCGGUAAUACAGAGGGGACAAGCGUUAUUCGGAAUUAUUGGGCGUAAAGGGCGCGUAGGCGGUGUCUUAAGUGAGACGUGUAAUCCCCGAGCUUAACUUGGGAACUGCAUCUCAGACUGGGGCGCUAGAGUACUGGAGAGGGUGGUAGAAUUCCACGUGUAGCGGUGAAAUGCGUAGAGAUGUGGAGGAAUACCAGUGGCGAAGGCGGCCACCUGGACAGUAACUGACGCUGAGGCGCGAAAGUGUGGGGAGCAAACAGGAUUAGAUCGCUUGUCCAACGGAUCAACAUCUGUUAUGGUUCUGUUUUUGUCCCUGGCAUGUUAAGGUUUCGGAGGUUUUUCCCGUAGAAGCGUUUUCGACCAAAUCCCUAGGCUGAAAACUCAAAGGAAUUGACGGGGGGCCCCGCCCAAGCGGGGGGAA
rnacentral:rRNA from 1 species